rnacentral:misc_RNA from 1 species
GUGCCUACCUAUACGACAUUCACUUUUGGUUUGGAAAAGAUACAAGCCAAGAUGAGGCUGGAACUGCUGCAAUCAAGACCGUUGAACUUGAUGCAGUGCUUGGAGGCCGUGCAGUUCAGCACAGGGAGCUUCAAGGUCUCGAAUCUGACAAAUUCUUGUCAUUUUUUAAACCAUGCAUUAUUCCUUUGGAGGGAGGUGUUGCUUCUGGAUUCAAAAAGCCCGAAGAAGAAAUAUUUGAAACACGACUCUAUGUUUGUAGAGGGAAACGCGUUGUCAGAUUAAAGCAGGUUCCCUUUGCGCGCUCAUCACUGAAUCACGAUGAUGUAUUUAUAUUGGACACUGAGAACAAAAUAUAUCAAUUCAAUGGAUCUAACUCCAAUAUCCAAGAAAGAGCUAAAGCUUUAGAAGUAAUCCAAUACUUGAAGGAUAAGUACCAUGAGGGAACGUGUGAUGUUGCAAUUAUUGAUGACGGGAGGCUCGCAGCAGAAUCUGGGUCAGGUGAAUUUUG